rnacentral:rRNA from 1 species
UACAGAGGUCUCAAGCGUUGUUCGGAUUCAUUGGGCGUAAAGGGUGCGUAGGCGGCGCGGUAAGUCGGGUGUGAAAUCUCGGAGCUUAACUCCGAAACUGCAUUCGAUACUGCCGUGCUUGAGGACUGGAGAGGAGACUGGAAUUUACGGUGUAGCGGUGAAAUGCGUAGAUAAUCGUAAGGAAUACCAGAGGCGAAGGCGGCUACCUGGACAAUUGCUGACGCUCAGGCACGAAAGCGUGGGGAGCAAACAGG